UACGUAGGUGGCAAGCGUUGUCCGGAAUUAUUGGGCGUAAAGCGCGCGCAGGCGGUUCCUUAAGUCUGAUGUGAGAGCCCCCGGCUCAACCGGGGAGGGUCAUUGGAAACUGGGGAACUUGAGUGCAGAAGAGAAGAGCGGAAUUCCACGUGUAGCGGUGAAAUGCGUAGAGAUGUGGAGGAACACCAGUGGCGAAGGCGGCUCUUUGGUCUGUAACUGACGCUGAGGCGCGAAAGCGUGGGGAGCAAACAGG
rnacentral:rRNA from 1 species